rnacentral:rRNA from 1 species
GAUGAACGCUAGCUACAGGCUUAACACAUGCAAGUCGAGGGGCAUCAGGAAGAAAGCUUGCUUUCUUUGCUGGCGACCGGCGCACGGGUGAGUAACACGUAUCCAACCUGCCCUGUACAUAUGGAUAACAUGCUGAAAAGCAUACUAAUACAUAAUAACGUACAUUGAAGGCAUCUUCGAUGUAUCAAAGCGUUAGCGGUACAGGAUGGACCCGCGUCUGAUUAGCUAGUUGGUGGGGUAAAAGCCUACCAAGGCGGCGAUCAGUAGCCGACCUGAGAGGGUGAUCGGCCACAUUGGAACUGAGACACGGUCCAA